rnacentral:rRNA from 1 species
CAGUCGCCGCGGUAACACGUAGGUGGCAAGCGUUGUCCGGAUUUAUUGGGCGUAAAGCGAGCGCAGGCGGUUCCUUAAGUCUGAUGUGAAAGCCCCCGGCUGAACCGGGGAGGGUCAUUGGAAACUGUUUGACUUGAGUGCAGAAGGGGAGAGUGGAAUUCCAUGUGUAGCGGAGAAAUGCGUAGAUAUAUGGAGGAACACCGGUGGCGAAAGCGGCUCUCUGUCUGUCACUGACGCUGAGGCUCGAAAGCGUGGGUAGCGAACAGGAUUAGAUACCCCCGUAGUCCCUGUCUCUUAUACA